UGAACGCUAGCUACAGGCUUAACACAUGCAAGUCGAGGGCAUCAGGGAGAAAGCUUGCUUCUUGCUGGCGACCGGCGCACGGGUGAGUAACGCGUAUCCAACCUUCCCCCCAGUAGGGCAUAGCCCGGCGAAAGUCGGAUUAAUACCCUAUGUUUUCCAAUGAGGACAUCUGAGCUGGAACAAAGAUUUAUCGCUGGGGGAUGGGGAUGCGUCCGAUUAGGUUGUUGGCGGGGUAACGGCCCACCAAGCCCGCGAUCGGUAGGGGUUCUGAGAGGAAGGUCCCCCACACUGGUACUGAGACACGGACCAGACUCCUACGGGAGGCAGCAGUGAGGAAUAUUGGUCAAUGGGCGUAAGCCUGAACCAGCCAAGUAAGCGUGCAGGACGACGGCCCUAUGGGUUGUAAACUGCUUUUAUGCGGGGAUAAAGUGAGGUAUGUAUACCUUUUUGUAGGUACCGCAUGAAUAAGGACCGGCUAAUUCCGUGCCAGCCGCCGC
rnacentral:rRNA from 1 species